CAUAAUCUAUGUCUCCCCCAUCUUUCUCACUCUCAUAGUGUCACAUUCAAUGUAUGAAGCACUGCAACAGUCUGAAAAUAUUACUGCUAGUAAUAAUCCAAAAUAUUGAUGCCUAACAUAGAUAUAAGGUCUCAGAUUUAGAGGCGAGUUGACAGUGUAAUGGUAUUUAAUGAUUUCCCAUGACCAGAACAGAAGUGAAAGUUUCAAUCAGGAGUUUAUCCCUCCCACUCUACACCGAUUACUACACAAUAAUCACAAGUAUCAUCGACUAAAUAUUUGCUCAAUAGAAUCUGUCACUGGUUGAAACUGGCCACUACGGUAUUUAACAACAUGAUAAUAAUGGUUCCUCACUUACACAAGGCCACAAAUUGUAAAAUGAGAUUAGGACCAUCUCAUACACAGCUACCACUAAUUUUUUUAUUUUUAAUCAAACCCUAAGAGGUAAAAGCCAAAGUUAAUCAGUGUAGUGUCUGUACUCAGAAUGCAAAAAAAAAAAUUAGAUAUUUCUUUAUCAUUUCUUUCCCUAUAUAACCUUGAAAAUAAUAGUGUAGAUGAUUGUUUUGUUUUGAGGUGGUCUAGUAAUACUAUAUAGAUCAGUCACAGGCAAACUAUGGCCUGCAGGACUUUCUCAGUGUCAUCCUUAAUGAAAAUACUUUGAAAUGUUUUAGGUGUGUGGUCCAUUUGGUGAUGAGCUUUGUCUAAUGAAGGUUACUCUUUCCUGCUAUAGAUACUGUAUUAUUUUAAAUUAUUGUAUGAAAUACACAGUAAAGUAAAUAAUAACAGUUGUAAACAAGAACUCAUUGGUUGAGGUGUUCUGAGGUCUCUCAUAGAUCUUCUUUUUAUAACUGAGAUUUGAAAUAAUCUCUUUAUAUAGGAAUCUAUACUGAGAUAUAAAGAAUAAAUUUUUAUCUUUUACAACAUUGUGAGUUUACCAAAUAUUCAACCAAUCAAACUUCCAAGUUACAUUUAUAGGUUUUCACCUCGAGUUGAAUUAAAUCAGGAGGGUACAUCAUUGUCUACUGUUGUGGCAAGAAUAAGUUUGAAACAGUAAAAAUUACAAGUGCCAGCAAUGGUUGAAUAUGACUGUUACUAAGAUAUUGGUAGGACAAAAUAUUAUAGUAUAGAACUGGUUAAUUAUCUGUAACUUCAUUUUAAAUAUACUGCCUGCUUAACAAAGAAGUGGUGACUACUAUUUUCAGAUAGCUGGGCUAUAUCCAAUACACUACUGUUCUAAUAAUUGACUUUGAUAUAAUUAGAACCUAUGGUCUUUUGGACAGUAAUUUAGAAGCUUAACUAUACAACUGUCACGUCAUUUUCUUUGUAAAGAUUUGCAUCACUUGACAAAAAUAUGGUGGGACAAGUGGGAGGAAGGGUUAAACUUUUGAGUUUAUUAAUGUAAUUGUUGGUCUAUCUUCCGUCAUUAGCUUGCCAGAAGGUACAUUUUAAGAUUUUUGAUAAUUUUUUUAUUUACUUUUUUUUCUAUAUUCAUGACUAAAUGUUUAUGUGCAAUAAGAAAGGUAACUAAAUGUUGUAAUUCCAUCUAAUAGUUGUCACAAGUUUAUCAUCUCAUUUGUACUUUUGAAAAUGCAAAUGUGACUAUAUAUUUUAAUGAUGUUUGAUGUCAUUUAUUUGUGUUUAUUUUCACCAACAUUGUAUUCACUGUCAACGAAAGCUGUAUUUGUAUGUAGUUAAAUAUAAUCAGUGUCUUAGGUGUGUCUUAAAGUCUACCAGUAAUAAUCUCACCCUAGAUGUCUUAUCACAUCACCUUUUGAUGUUAUUACAACAAAUAUGUGAUAAUGUCAUCUGUUCCUAGAGGAAUGGUUGUUGUCUUUAAUAUUUUGUAGAUAUUUGUGUUGGAUUAUUUUUAACAAUAAUAGCUAGCUGUCUUACUGAUCCUAUAAUAUACACUGACUACUGUAUAGUCUCAAAUGAAGUUAAUUGCUUCAUAUAUACAUUUCUCCUUUCUUUCUUUCAACAGCUACAUGAAUUUUGCAUGUUAUUAGAAUAACUCUAGUUAAUGAAUGAUAAUAGUCAUUAAUGCAUGUUUUUCUUUUUAAUGCUAAUUUAAUUUAUCUAAGAAAAUAGAAUCUAUUUUGAUUUAAGCCCCCUGCCUAAAAUAUACAUAUUUCUUCCAGUGGCUGGCUUUUCUCUUCUGAGCUUAUACUCUUAGAUCUUUUACUUCAUUAAAUAUGUUUUCAGUCUGUAUUCUAUACUUCUGGGUAUUGGUUCUUCAGUGCUUAUUGAUUGCUAUUCAAUAAUUACAGCUUAAGCAAUUCAUAGUAUCUUCUGCAGCCUCAUUAAUAUUUUUGAUGAUUUAAUAAAAUAGAACAUAACAAUAAGAGCUGGUGAAGUUGUAAAAAUGAUACUGACAUUAUUAUUUUCUUCCAGUUUUAUCUUGUUCUUGGUUGUAUAAAGGUCACACUAGCAUUGCACCACCAUUUUUUUUCUCCAUAUGUGGAUAAGAGCAUCAAAGAGGGGCAACUUAGCCUUGAAACUGCAGUUAUAUAAGUUGGUCGGUCAUUACACAGAUUGAUAGCUGUCAAUACUUAGAACUUUGAAAAUACUUUUUUGUCUUACAACAAUAUACAAAUGUUAAAUUCCCUGAAUUGAAAACAUAAUGUUUCAUGAUAACCAGUAUCUUUUACAUUAUUAUUGAAAUCUUUAUUAUAGAUUUUUAGGUUGAGUCAUUGGACUGCAGCUUUCAAGGGAACCACCAACAAGGCUUCAGUCAAUUAUAUAAUUUCCCACUAUUUAUUUCAUUGAUUGUUGAACCACUCUAUAUAUUUGAAUUUUUACAAAGUAAAAGGUUGACUGAUUUCAAAGUUUCAGUUUUCCAGCUGUCAUCAGGCUGCCUGAUGACACUUGAUAAGCCAAAACUUUGAAGUCACUGUCAACCUUUUCCUUGUCAAAAUUUUGUACUCUACUAAGAAAGUAUUGUGUGAUCCCUUAUUUUAAUGUUAAAUUAUUUUUGUCUUGGUCAUCUAGGUCCAGCUUAUUAUAUUAUCCACCAUUUAUCUACCACAUAAAAU